UACGUAGGGUGCGAGCGUUAAUCGGAAUUACUGGGCGUAAAGUGUGCGCAGGCGGCAGAGCAAGUCGAGUGUGAAAGCCCCGGGCUUAACUUGGGAAUUGCGCUCGAAACUAACUUGCUGGAGUGUGGCAGAGGAAGGUGGAAUUCCACGUGUAGCGGUGAAAUGCGUAGAGAUGUGGAGGAACACCAAUGGCGAAGGCAGCCUUCUGGGCCAACACUGACGCUCAUGCACGAAAGCGUGGGGAGCAAACAGG
rnacentral:rRNA from 1 species